UCGAGAAUCUUCGGCAAUGGGGGAAACCCUGACCGAGCGACGCCGCGUGCGGGAUGAAGGCCUUCGGGUUGUAAACCGCUGUCAGUGUGGAGGAAAUGUAGGGGGGUUCUCCCCUUUACUUGACCUAUACGCAGAGGAAGGACGGGCUAAGUUCGUGCCAGCAGCCGCGGUAAGACGAACCGUCCACACGUUAUUCGGCAUUACUGGGCUUAAAGGGUGCGUAGGCGGUCCGAUAAGUUGGGUGUGAAAGCCCUCGGCUCAACCGAGGAAUAGCGCCCAAAACUGUUGGACUUGAGUAAGGCAGAGGUGAACGGAACUUAGGGUGGAGCGGUGAAAUGCGUUGAUAUCCUAAGGAACACCAGUAGCGAAAGCGGUUCACUGGGCCUUUACUGACGCUGAGGCACGAAAGCCAGGGGAGCGAACG
rnacentral:rRNA from 1 species